AGCUCCAAUAGCGUAUAUUAAAGUUGUUGCGGUUAAAAAGCUCGUAGUUGGAUCCCUGCCGAGGACGACCGGUCUGCCCACUGGGUGUGUAUCUGGCUCGGCCUGGGCAUCUUCUUGGAGAACGUCUCUGCACUUGACUGUGUGGUGCGGUAUCCAGGACUUUUACUUUGAGGAAAUUAGAGUGUUUCAAGCAGGCACACGCCUUGAAUACAUUAGCAUGGAAUAAUAAUACAGGACCUUGGUUCUAUUUUGUUGGUUUCUAGAAUUAAGGUAACGAUUAAUAGGGAUAGUUGGGGGCAUUCGU
rnacentral:rRNA from 1 species